CAUAAGACUGGAAGCCUCGCAGGUGUGGCUGCUGUGUCACAGGUGUAUCAGUAGGUCCCACAGAGGUGAGGGGGUAUGUCCACUCUCAGUAUUCUGACCUGUGAACAUUUGAAUCGUUAGUACCUUAGAAUU